rnacentral:rRNA from 1 species
UGGUCUUGACAUCCACGGAAGUUUUCAGAGAUGAGAAUGUGCCUUCGGGAACCGUGAGACAGGUGCUGCAUGGCUGUCGUCAGCUCGUGUUGUGAAAUGUUGGGUUAAGUCCCGCAACGAGCGCAACCCUCGCCCUUAGUUGCCAGCAUUCAGUUGGGCACUCUAAGGGGACUGCCGGUGAUAAGCCGAGAGGAAGGUGGGGAUGACGUCAAGUCAUCAUGGCCCUUACGACCAGGGCUACACACGUGCUACAAUGGCGCAUACAAAGAGAAGCGACCUCGCGAGAGCAAGCGGACCUCAUAAAGUGCGUCGUAGUCCGGAUUGGAGUCUGCAACUCGACUCCAUGAAGUCGGAAUCGCUAGUAAUCGUGGAUCAGAAUGCCACGGUGAAUACGUUCCCGGGCC